rnacentral:rRNA from 1 species
AUUGAACGCUGGCGGCAUGCUUUACACAUGCAAGUCGGACGGCAGCACAGAGAAGCUUGCUUCUUGGGUGGCGAGUGGCGAACGGGUGAGUAAUAUAUCGGAACGUACCGAGUGAUGGGGGAUAACUAAUCGAAAGAUUAGCUAAUACCGCAUAUUCUCUGAGGAGGAAAGCAGGGGACCUUCGGGCCUUGCGUUAUUCGAGCGGCCGAUAUCUGAUUAGCUAGUUGGUGGGGUAAAGGCCUACCAAGGCGACGAUCAGUAGCGGGUCUGAGAGGAUGAUCCGCCACACUGGGACUGAGACACGGCCCAGACUCCUACGGGAGGCAGCAGUGGGGAAUUUUGGACAAUGGGCGCAAGCCUGAUCCAGCCAUGCCGCGUGUCUGAAGAAGGCCUUCGGGUUGUAAAGGACUUUUGUCAGGGAAGAAAAGGCUGUUGCUAAUAUCGACAGCUGAUGACGGUACCUGAAGAAUAAGCACCGGCUAACUACGUG